AGAAGAUCCUAUGAUUGCUGAGCCAGAGAUCCUGUGAAGGCACCUCCUGGAACCCUCGCCGUUCUGCUGGCUCGGUGUCCGGUAAAGUGAAGCCUACGUGUUUGGAAAUAUUGACCCACAGCGCUCAGCUCCUAAUCCCCAGCAGGCGGAGCAGUGGACUUCCAUUCUUUUAGUCAUAGGCCAACCGGUCUGGAGACCUUAGUGGCUGCAUUGCAAUGGAGUGGCUGAGAGAAAACCUUUGAAAAUAACUCCUACUUUCUUAAGAUGCCUGAAGGUGACAGCUCUGCACCUGUCAUGGAGGGUGAAUUCAUCCCCAGGCAGUACUUGAACUUCACGAGUUUCACAUCGUGCAGUAACCUUAGCAAUUUUCUUCUGGGUGUGUCUUUUUGAAUUAGUCAUCCAGAAAAAUAGUGAAAAAUUCUGAGAAUCCUGUUCUGAGCGUGCUUUUAAUUUUUUAAUCUUUGAAUUGUUAAUAUGGUUCUGACAAAUAAUUUUUUUUUUUUUUUUUUAGAAAAGAGAUCAAGACUAGAAACCUGGCAUAGGUAACACAUAUAUACAGAUGCAUUCUAAGAAUCUGAAACUCCUGCUGACGCUUGCCUGAAGUUCCAGCUACUCAGGAGGCUGGGACAGGAGGAUCACUUGAGUCCCAGAGUGCCAGGUGUGCCUGAGCAACGUAGAAUGACCCCAUCUCAAACAACAACGAAACACUUAAGAUCUGUUUCAUGAUAUUUGUGAGAUAUAUCUUUGCCCUCAAACCUAUUUAAACCCACCUUAGCGUGUGUUUGAUUUUUAUUUACCAUGACUAAUAAGGACAUUUAUGCAGUAAUAAUGAAACAUAAUAAAACAUGGGUGUGGUACUGGGCCUGUCAUUAAACUGGCUGAACCUGUCAUUAAAUCCACUUUUGAAGAUUUAAAG
rnacentral:lncRNA from 1 species